GCUGCCUGGCCCGCUGAGUUACUCCAGCAUUUUGUGUCUAUCUUUGCUGUAUAGUUGUUCAUCCAACCCUAAACUCAAGUUUUAGCUUUAAUUUUGUGUUAAACCAGUUUACUUUUUAAAAAAUUCAAUAAAUGGGGA